rnacentral:rRNA from 1 species
UCGAGAAUCUUCGUCAAUGGGCGCAAGCCUGAACGAGCGACGCCGCGUGCGGGAUGAAGGCCUUCGGGUUGUAAACCGCUGUCAGUGGGGAGGAAAUGCUGGAGGGUUCUCCCUUCAGUUUGACCUAUCCGCAGAGGAAGUACGGGCUAAGUUCGUGCCAGCAGCCGCGGUAACACGAACCGUACGAACGUUAUUCGGAAUUACUGGGCUUAACGGGUGCGUAGGCGGCCCAGAAAGUUGGGUACGAAAGCCCUCGGCUCAACCGAGGAAUUGCGCCCCAAACUACUGGGCUCGAGGAAGACAGAGGUGAGCGGUACUACGGGUGGAGCGGUGAAAUGCGUUGAUAUCCGUAGGAACACCAGGGGCGAAAGCGGCUCACUGGGUCUUUUCUGACGCUGAUGCACGAAAGCCAGGGGAGCGAACG